GCUGGCCCUCUGGUUUCUGGGCUUGACAGACAUCCGGUGGCGUGCGGCAGAGGUGUCCAGGCAGCUCACCCCCUCAGCUGGAGAGCUGAAGUCUGACGGGGGCUCAACAACAGACGGAACGGACGAGACAGGAGGAGUUAAGAGUCCUGGGCUAUGAAUCUACACUCACAAUCAUAAAAACAUCCCCUCAAAAACGCCUUAAUGAACUGGAGCUGAUUAACCAUGCAGAACACUGGGAAGGUAUCACGAGUGAGAUGAAUAAUUACCUUGCUGAAGACUCCCUGAGAUGUAACGUCCGCUCCUGAGACCUCAGGACAGCUGUCGUCCUCCAAGCCGCCACCCGGGUCCUCUGGACGUCUGACUGGCAGAACCAAAGGCGGCGGCCCCAAAUGCAUCUUCUGCUGCUGGAGCUUCAUCUGUGAUACCAGAGCACAAGUGUUUUUUUCCUAAAGGAUGAACUACAUUUGUACAAAAGCAACAUGGCUGGACUAAGAGGCUCUACCUGCAGAGCUUUGAUCUUGCUGUGAACGUUCUCCUGGGACAAGACCCGGGCGGGCUCGGUGUCUGUCGGGUCCUGAUCAGCCAGAAAGAUGCUGUCGUGGGACAAUGCUCGUGAUCCCAUCAUUCCCUGGGAGCAUCUGAUGUAGCAGCAGAGGGGGGGGGGGGGGGGGGGGGGUGAAUGAUUAGACAAGACAUAUGGACAUAAACAUUGAGCUACAGAGAAAACAUUCAGUCUCAUGCAGACACUCACACCAAAUCUUCCUCUGAUCCGACUCCCUUCUCUGCAGUAAUGUCGCUGGCCGAUUGGCUGAGCUCGGCGUUUCCCUCUCCGCCCGUUCUCUUACUCCUCCCGAAGAGACGUGUUUUUAGAGCCUUGAGUUUGGACUUUUUGCGUCCUGACAGGGAGAUGGAGGAGAUCCAGGUCAGAGCCGCUCUCACACACACAAAACACAGCAACAGAAUACACACAAUCUUGUCUCUGCACCCUGUAAAUUAUCCAAUGAUCUUUUCUAACUGUAACUCAAAUUAAUGUCGGCUUGUGCCUUGCUUUCUCUACCGCAUAAUUCUCCUAAUGUGUGACAGGUAAACUCACCUGGAAUGUCUUCCGUGUUUUCUUCUUUGUCUCCAGAGGAAGACUCCAUUGGUCUGAGUUCUAAAAAAAAAUGUAAAAAAUCAAGUGCGGAGCAUACAGCCUUUAAAGAAAGCCACUGGUGAUAAGAAGCAACUGUGACAGUAUAAACUUCAGGCACACAGUUUUUAGAGGCUGCCUUCACAUGGUGAGAGUCACGUGUUCUCUGUUCCUUGGCAAGCGUGCAUAUGCACUUGUGAUAGCCUGAGGAUGAGACAGUCUGGACUUGAGUUUCAAAGGUUUAUCAGCGUUAUCAGGAGCAGAACAAACCUUUACCGUAGCUCGGUGGGGUGUGGUUAGGAAACUUGUCUUUACAAUCAACUAAAGACAAACAAUGACACAAAAUACACUCGAAAGGGCAUUUAGUGCAGCAUCUUGAGCAAACAACACAAUACGAAGGUAUUGUCAUAAAGUAUGACAGUGUAGUCUGGAUAACUCUGUGCGCAAAGUAAAAGCUAAGUCCUGUCUCUCAGGAAGUUCUACUCAUGCAACACUUGCCUGGCAAUCAUCCAGGUUAGGCUGAUGUGUUAAUGGAUGCAAGAAUCAGUGCAGGGCGCUUGUUUGCUUUGUUUUUACAGACUUUAUUUUGUACCUCGCCCCGAUGAUACGGCUCUAUCUCUGAUAUGCAUACACCAUUUUAAUGCGUUUUAUGCAGUUCUUCCUGUGUAACCUAGGAACUGGUGUCAACAAAGCUCGGUGCUUUAUGGCACCGGGUGCCCGAUAAGACGAGAUGUGUCCGGUUAUGGAUACACUGUCCACCCUGCACUUCUCGUAUCAGGGAACAGGCUCAAGAACGACCUGUCGAAGAGGGAUGCGGGCACAUAAAUGCAGCAUGGCACUCCAUUAGUUGCGUGCGGUGUCACAUUUGACUUGCAUAACGUUUGAACCUCAAGCCCUACAAAUACAUUUCAACUCAGUCAGUGGAAUCGCCGCCAGAGCGAUUGAAACUAAGGUGUUUCGUGAAUGAGGCCGUUCCUCAGAGAUUUGCCGUCCAGUGAGCCAAGCCAUACAGCCGCAACAGAAACAGGGGAUAAUCUCUUGGAUUAUUGACAUUGUAGAGAGACCCUUGUAAGAUUUCACAGCACCAUAAUCUACGACAACAGCUUCAUCACAAAUUUCUUAUGCCGCAGCACAAAAUUCACCUGAUAUGCACAGGAAAAGUACUUCUGCUUCUCAAUUUACGAAAACAAAAAACAAAACCUGUAAAACACACAAACACACACACAUUCACGCACUAUGCAGGAGAGAAAACAUGAGUGAACUCACCCAUAGCAGCAGCAGCAGCAGCUCUGUUCCCCCUUCCUCCUGUUUGUCCUCCUCUCUGCGCCGGGUUGUCCGGACUCGGCUGUGUCACUGUCCUAAUGUUUAAACCUCAGGCGUGCGUCAGGCACAUCUGCAGAUGGAGGGAGAUGCAGAGAGGGGGGAGCGAGCGAGGGAAGUGGAAGAAGACAAAAAAAUAAAACAAGGAGGGAGGGAGAGAGAGAGCAAGAGCGAGAGAGGAGAGAGAGAGAGAGAGAGAGAGAGAGAGAGAGAAGGUCACUUCAUGACUGGGUAAGCAAAUGCACAAAGAGAAUAGAGGACAGAGAGAAUGGGUGAGCGAGAGAGAGAGAGAGAGAUACUCUAUUACAUUAGUGGCACACUGUGGCCCUUUGCGCUAAGCUCCUUAUAAAACGCUAACCUGAUUUUAGGCCCAGAAAUGAGAGUAGAGGGAAAAAAUAAAGCUGCAGUUGGAAAGAGGACGGGCGUACAGGAAUUACAGCUCAUAGAACAGAGUCGACACACAUUGCACGGAGUUUCUUUCACCCCUGUGUGAUCGCUGACGGGACUCUAUGCAGCAUGUGUGCGCAAAUUUUGUGUCUUGGAAAGUUUUUUUAAUGUUUUAUUUAAAUGUAUAAUCUAGUGUGAUCCAGACAUUAGAGCUAGGUUAAUAUUGUAUAUUAUUCUACAAUAUGAUAUUGUUGUUUGUUUUUCUAUUCUAAAAUAGAAAAAUCUGUCUUAAUACAUGAACUUUGCAUUUAUGUGUCCACACAUCACUGGGUAGUAUACUAAACACUUUUGCAUGAAUAAAAUGGACACAGUUGAUCAUUUCAAUAAGACUCUUGUUUGAGGGGUUUCCACAUGGUUGAUUCCAGCUGGGGGACCUAGGUGGCAUCAUUCAUGUCUAUAUCUCUACUAUAACAGUGAAAAUACAUAUAUAAGAAAUUACAACUUUCUUUACAUUGACUCUCACAUUGAUAACACUCAGAGAUGGGAGCAGGAUCUAGGCCACUGGGCUACAAUCAGUGACAGCGAUAAAAACGAAAGCAAACCUUUGCAUGUGUGGACUCAUGAGGCUCCUUAUCACACAAUUGCGUAAUCUGUUAGGUAUAUAAACCAUCAGAAUGUAAAUCCAGCCUCUGUCAUCUAGAUUACAUGCAACACGCCACAUGCAGGAUGUCAACAGACCACAGUGACAAAAGAGUCUGGGGAUGUGAUGUCAUUUAAUUCCUUCAAUUCAUGGAUUUGUUGUCUGUAAUCUACACAUACAGGACAAUGUGUGCAUGAAAGGCAUAUCUCAUGUGUAUUUAGUGGUUAGUUUAUAUAUUAUUUUAAUAUAAGAGCUGUCUCUACAGCACUGACUGCCACUUGCAAUAAAGUAUUUGUCCUUUUAGCUCCAGUAAAACAGUAUUUGAUACAGUUA